rnacentral:rRNA from 1 species
CCUACGGGAGUCAGCAGUAGGGAAUAUUGCUCAAUGGGGGAAACCCUGAAGCAGCAACGCCGCGUGGAGGAUGAAGGUUUUCGGAUUGUAAACUCCUUUUGUUAGAGAAGAUAAUGACGGUAUCUAACGAAUAAGCACCGGCUAACUCCGUGCCAGCAGCCGCGGUAAUACGGAGGGUGCAAGCGUUACUCGGAAUCACUGGGCGUAAAGAGCGCGUAGGCGGGAUAGCAAGUCAGAUGUGAAAUCCUAGGGCUUAACCAUAGAACUGCAUUUGAAACUGUUAUUCUAGAGUAUGGGAGAGGUAGGUGGAAUUCUUGGUGUAGGGGUAAAAUCCGUAGAGAUCAAGAGGAAUACUCAUUGCGAAGGCGACCUGCUAGAACAUAACUGACGCUGAUGCGCGAAAGCGUGGGGAGCAAACAGGAUUAGAUACCCCAGUAGUC